UCAUCAUUUUUGAAGCAAUUAGCUUGCUAAGGGUGGAAAUGUUGGUGACUUAGUGGCGGACGGGUGAGUAACGCGUGGGUAACCUGCCAUAUACAGGGGGAUAACACUUAGAAAUAGGUGCUAAUACCGCAUAAGCGCACAGGACCGCAUGGUCUGGAGUGAAAAACAUUAGUGGUAUAUGAUGGACCCGCGUCUGAUUAGCUGGUUGGUGAGGUAGCGGCCCACCAAGGCGACGAUCAGUAGCCGGCCUGAGAGGGUGGACGGCCACAUUGGGACUGAGACACGGCCCAAACUCCUACGGGAGGCAGCAGUGGGGGAUAUUGGACAAUGGGGGGGAACCCUGAUCCAGCGACGCCGCGUGAGUGAAGAAGUAUCUCGGUAUGUAAAGCUCUAUCAGCAGGGAAGAAAGAAAUGACGGUACCUGAGUAAGAAGCCCCGGCUAACUACGUGCCAGCAGCCGCGGUAAUACGUAGGGGGCAAGCGUUAUCCGGAAUUACUGGGUGUAAAGGGAGCGUAGACGGUGAAGUAAGUCUGGAGUGAAAGGCGGGGGCCCAACCCCCGGACUGCUCUGGAAACUAUUAGACUGGAGUGCAGGAGAGGUAAGCGGAAUUCCUAGUGUAGCGGUGAAAUGCGUAGAUAUUAGGAGGAACACCAGUGGCGAAGGCGGCUUACUGGACUGUAACUGACGUUGAGGCUCGAAAGCGUGGGGAGCAAACA
rnacentral:rRNA from 1 species